rnacentral:misc_RNA from 1 species
GGUGCUAUGUUUUUUCACCUUAACAUUCUCCAAAUGAUACUCACAGCAUAGAGAAACUCUAAGCUAUUAUCAUCACAUCACUUAAAAUAUUAGGAUCUCAAGUAGUUUGGCUUGAUCAAAUGAUACAUUAAAUACUACAUUUCACAAAUACAAACAAUAAAUUGAUUGAGGCAAAGAAGUUGAAACCAAAGAGCAAAUGAAUUAAACAGGUUCCCUAGCUAUUUUCACCGGUUUCUCUUUUAAAAAUGCUACAUCGC